AUAAAAGACUGUGGAAAGAGACGACUGGAUAGGUGAGUGAUGACAGUGGUUACACCAAAGAUGAUAUCUUCUCCAUUUCUGGAAGUAAGUAUCUUGAAGAUUUUUCCUGAUAUUUAAACAGUACAGGUUGUACUCCUGAUGAACAGGAUACCUCUAGUCCCAAGAAUCAUUGAGGAACUGUGCCUGGAGUUGCAGUACAUUCAGAUUGGAGUGAAGUGUUUGACCUGCAUUCUGAGAUAAUAGCUGAGAAUUGAGGGCAAGAGGUGAAUUCGAUGAGGCAUGUAUAUCUCCAGGAACCUAAGUGUAGACCUAGUCAUUUAGGGAAUGAAUUGAGGUGUCUGUGGAGUCCGCAUAUCACUACUGCAGUGGAAACAGACCUGGCUGCAGUGUAGUCAACAUAAGUAAAGCCUGCAAAGCUGUCUUUGCCACGAGCUGGGCCACCUUUAUUAUGGCACUAUACGGAUCUCGGUAAAUGGUCAAUGAAUGCAUUAAACGUAUCCAUUAAUUCAGGUAGUUACAUUUCAACAUCAGUGCUUGGCUGUCUUCAAAGAUAGCUCUGUGGGGUUUUCCUUUAUACGCAGCUGCACGGUUGGACCAAUAUUCACCAUUAUCCAAGUGAACGGUGGUGUUCUGCUGAACUGAUGAAC